GUUUAGGGUUUAAAACCCUAAUGUUGACUGAAGGAAAGAGCUCAGUUUAGGGUUUAAAACCCUAAUGCUGACUAAAUGAAAAGAGUUCAGUUUAGGGUUUAAAACCCUAAUGCUGACUGAAUGAAAGAGUUCAGUUUAGGGUUUAAAACCCUAAUGCUGACUAAAAGAGAAAGUUCAGCUUAGGGUUUAAAACCCUAAUGCUGCCUAAAUGGAAAAGUUCAGUUUAGGGUUUAAAACCCUAAUGCUGACUGAAUGGAAAAGUUUAGUUUAGGGUUUAAAACCAUAAUGCUGACU
rnacentral:lncRNA from 1 species